rnacentral:rRNA from 1 species
GACGAACGCUGGCGGCGUGCUUAACACAUGCAAGUCGAACGGUAAGGCCCUUCGGGGUACACGAGUGGCGAACGGGUGAGUAACACGUGGGUGGUCUGCCCUGCACUUCGGGAUAAGCCUGGGAAACUGGGUCUAAUACCGGAUAGGACCACUGCCUGCAUGGGUGGGGGUGGAAAGCGUUUGCGGUGUGGGAUGGGCCCGCGGCCUAUCAGCUUGUGGGUGGGGUGAUGGCCUACCAAGGCGACGACGGGUAGCCGGCCUGAGAGGGUGACCGGCCACACUGGGACUGAGAUACGGCCCAGACUCCUACGGGAGGCAGCAGUGGGGAAUAUUGCACAAUGGGCGCAAGCCUGAUGCAGCGACGCCGCGUGAGGGAUGACGGCCUUCGGGUUGUAAACCUCUUUCAGCACCGACGAAGCGCAAGUGACGGUAGGUGCAGAAGAAGGACCGGCCAACUACGUGCCAGCCGCCGCCGUAA